rnacentral:rRNA from 1 species
AGUGAACGCUGACGGUAGGCCUAACACAUGCCAGUCGAACGGCAGCACAGUAAGAGCUUGCUCUUACGGGUGGCGAGUGGCGGACGGGUGAGGAAUACAUCGGAAUCUACUUUUUCGUGGGGGAUAACGUAGGGAAACUUACGCUAAUACCGCAUACGACCUACGGGUGAAAGCAGGGGAUCUUCGGACCUUGCGCGAUUGAAUGAGCCGAUGUCGGAUUAGCUAGUUGGCGGGGUAAAGGCCCACCAAGGCGACGAUCCGUAGCUGGUCUGAGAGGAUGAUCAGCCACACUGGAACUGAGACACGGUCCAGACUCCUACGGGAGGCAGCAGUGGGGAAUAUUGGACAAUGGGCGCAAGCCUGAUCCAGCCAUACCGCGUGGGUGAAGAAGGCCUUCGGGUUGUAAAGCCCUUUUGUUGGGAAAGAAAAGCAGCAGGUUAAUACCCCGCUGUUCUGACGGUACCCAAAGAAUAAGCACCGGCUAACUUCGUG